rnacentral:misc_RNA from 1 species
AAAACAGAAUGUAAAUUUAAUUUUAAGUUGGAAAGUAUAUUCAGUUUUGUUUCUAGUUUUGCAAAAGAUAUUUUUUGACAAAAUGAAAAAGAGAAGCAGAAUUCUCACAUUUCAAGAGUCCCAAUUGAUUUUGAAAAGCAGUCAAAGAAAAAAUACACCAAAAUUGACAUUUAAAACAAUUUCCAAUAGAAAAUAUUUUUGGAAUUUCCUACCUACUCCACCUACUGUGGUUUCAUCACCCUCUCUAUAGUUUUUGAUCUGGGACUCAUCACGGUCUACUAUAAUGUUAAAACAAAAUGAGAGGCUUGAGAAUCUUAUUGUAAGGGAUCUCUUCAGAUUUAAUUGGGAGAUAAAGAUUCUUGUGUUAGUUAAAGAUGUCAUUAGUUGUAACUAAACCAACAAGUGCCAAAUAUUAUGAAAAUUUUAAAGAGACAAUGGAGAUAAUAAUUGCAAAUAUGGAAAAGGUUGUUAUGGCUAAUGAAUGUAUUGGAAACUGUGCAAAUAUAACUUGGUAGUAUUGAAGAGGAGAUAUGUUAACAUAAUGGACUGAUCUAACCCUACAAUACAUGUGAUAGCAACAGGGUCGAGACAAAACAUCCCCUGAAGGUAAAUUUUAGGGCUAGGUUUGGUGGGGUUAUAGGGUUGUGAAAAAUUCAAUUUUAUGAAUUUCAGUUUAUGUCAAGGUCAAACUGUUGGUUAGGGAUAAAAAAGCAGAAAUUACUUUACCCACUAUUGAUCUGGAUCAAUACUGCUUAUCUCUAUCAGUAUACUAUUAGUGCAGUGCAAUACUGGUUCAAUACUACUUAUCUAUUGUAGAAUAUAGCUGACAUAUGUAUGUGUAUGUCAUAUCUACCUUUAGUACAGGAUUUUAGAAGAUCCAACAUUUAGUAGGGCCAAACCUUAACUGGUCACGAAAGGUUAACCUUGAAGAUGACUAACUAGGAUAUGUGUUUGACCAAAUGUCAUUGCAUUUUCUUUUGUAAGUUUUAAGAGUUAUAAAUUUUAGAUAGCAGCAAGAAUUUAAGCAUUUAAAAUGUCACAAAAAAGUGUACAAUUUAGAAAUUAGACCUAAAUCAUGAUAAACACUCUUUAUAAACUUGACCUUUAUAAACAUAACCAUUUACAACAUAAUAUAUGGUUAUAUCUUAUGGUUUUAGAUUUUCUAUAGAACGUCAGCAAUUUAAAGAAUGGCUGUUAAUGGCUACUUUAUAAGUGACAAAGAGCUGGAAUGCUCUAUUUGUUUGGCAUUAUGGAUAGAGAAUGAUCCAAGAAUACUGCCUUGUCAACAUACUUUUUGUUUUAAUUGUUUGAAUAAUUUGCCCAGUGAACCAUGGAAAAUAACUUGUCCAGAAUGUAGAGGAGAGCAUUUUCUAGAUAAAAAUCAUGUUGGCAGUUUGCCAAAAAAUCGAAUGCAAUAUGCAUUACAAAAACAUUUAGCGUUGCCACUUGUUGAUGAAGAUUACACUUUAACCAAACAACAAUUGGAAUGGGAACAAAAAUUCUACAAACAGCAACAGCAACAGCAAAAGCUACAAUAUCAAACAUUGGAAAAACUCCAACAAGAACAAGAACAAGAAUUGAGGCAACUACAAAUAUCUCUAAAACAACAUCAAGCUGAACAAAAAUUGCAGCUGAACCAAUUGAAAGAAUUGAAGCAACAACUACAACAACAAAACCAAAAAAACGAACUACUAGAACAACAAAAGGAGCAACUGGAACUGGAACUGGAAAAACAGAAACGACAACAGGAAAAAAAACUUUCUUCUGAGAAUAUUGUUCAACCUCUGCCAAAAAAUAUCAAUUUGAAGGUAGAACAUCUUUCAAUAACAAAAAUGAAUUGCUCAGAGCCAUAUCAACAACCAACUAUUCCUAAGCAGAGUGAUAAAUUGUCUUCAAAUGUUCAAUUUAAUCAAUCAAAUGCAAGAGAAGUUCCCCUUAGAAGAAGUGUUUCAGACAUUAUCAACUCUUUUGGAGGACAGAAAAAAUGCAAAGAACCUUCUGCACUACAUUCUGUGGCAUUCUUCAGUUCACCUGAUUCAUCCAGAAGAGGGCUUCCAACUAAACCAAAGAUGACUUCACCAACAGCUAAUAAAAGGCAAAUUACUCAACCAAUAUGUCAGCAUCCCAACUUACUGACCCAAAUUCAUCAAGUAAAACUGAAAUUGAAGUCAACAAUUGAUUCUAAAAUACAAACAGAGUAUGGUCAAAAUAAUUCGAAUACAGCAAUGUCUUCUGCUGAGAACAUUGCCCAACCACUGUCAAAAAAACCUUCUCCUCCACCAAAGCCUUUAAUACUUAAACACAUUAAACUGAUUGAUGAAAACUAAAUACAAAAUGAGCCUUAUAAUAAUCAAUUUUUUUUGAUUUUUUUGAAAAUGAUUCAAUGGUUUAUGACUCUAUGAAGAGUUUGUUCAAAUAAAAAAAUUAUUAAAACCGAGAGAUUUAUUGCUAACAAUAAAGAUACAAAUUUUAUUGAUUCUGAUAAAAGAGUACUGGUGAAGAAG